rnacentral:lncRNA from 1 species
UGGGACUACAGGCGCCUGCCACCACACCCCACUAAUUUUUGUACUUUUAGUAGAGAUGAGGUUUCACCAUAUUUGGCCAGGCUGGUCUUGAACUCCUGACCUUGUGAUCCACCCGCCUCAGCCUCCCAAAGUGCUGGGAUUACAGAUGUGAGCCACCCCGCCUGGCCUGUUCAGGUCAUUUUCAUGAAACAAAGCUUUCUUGGAUCUUCCCUUAUCUGACUAAAAGCAGUAGCUUCUGAGAUUUGAGGCUACUGUAAGAAGAUCAAAUGAGGGUAUGUAUGGGAAAAGUUUUUUGUUUUUUUNNNNNNNNNNUAAAGGGUCCUCAUACCUGUAUCCCAGUGCUUUGGGAGCCCAAAGUUGGAGGAUCGCUUGAGUCCAGGAGUUCGAGACUGGCCUGGGUAACAUAAUGAGAUCCUGUCUCUACAAAAAAUUGUAAAAAUUAGCUGAGCGUGAUGGUGGGCACCUGUAGUCCCAGCUACUAGGGAGGCUGAGGUGAGAGGAUUGCUUGAGCCCAGGAGGUUAAGCACUCCAGCCUGGGCGACAGAGUGAGACCUUGUCUCAAAAAAGAAAAAAAAACAAAAAAACAAAAAACUUUUCCCAUACAUACCCUCAUUUGAUCUUCUUAAUGAGGGUUUUAUUUCCCAUUUUACAAAUGAGGAAACUCCAAGGGUUUUUAUUUAUUUAUUUAUUUUUGAGACAGAGUCUCGCUCUGUCGCCCAGGCUGGAGUGCUUAACCUCCUGGGCUCAAGCAAUCCUCUCACCUCAGCCUCCCUAGUAGCUGGGACUACAGGUGCCCACCAUCACGCUCAGCUAAUUUUUACAAUUUUUUGUAGAGACAGGAUCUCAUUAUGUUACCCAGGCCAGUCUCGAACUCCUGGACUCAAGCGAUCCUCCAACUUUGGGCUCCCAAAGCACUGGGAUUACAGGUAUGAGUGACCAUACUCAGCUGGGAAGCAGUUUUCUACAAAACCCUACACAGCAUAGGUGACCUCAAAUCUAGUCCAAGUCCAACUUUUCCAACCUUGAAGAAAUGAAUUUGACAACCCCAAGAGUAUGAUACAGAACCAGAACCUUUUAAAAUUUGUAGUAUUUUUUUUUUUUUUUUUGAGACGGAGUCUCGCUACGUCGCCCAGGCUGGAGUGCAGUGGCGCUAUCUCAGCUCACUGGAAGCUCCCCUCCCAGGUUCACAAGGUAACAUGGUAGCAAAGUAAAAUAACAUAAAUCCAUGGGGAUUAUGUAGGGAAUAAACUGUUUUCUAUUCAUUCUAUUUUAUAACUCAGAUCUACAAUCUGAGUUAUAAGAUUUACUUU